rnacentral:rRNA from 1 species
GGACUACAGGGGUAUCUAAUCCCGUUCGCUCCCCUGGCUUUCGUGCCUCAGCGUCAGUUGAGACCCAGUGUGUCGCUUUCGCCACCGGCGUUCCUUCCGAUAUCAACACAUUUCACCGCUCCACCGGAAGUUCCACACACCCCUAUCUCACUCCAGCCACACAGUUUAGGGCGCAGUUCCCCGGUUAAGCCGGGGGAUUUCACACCCUACUUACAUGGCCGCCUACGCACCCUUUAAGCCCAGUGAAUCCGAAUAACGUUUGCACAGUUCGUAUUACCGCGGCUGCUGGCAC